ACAGGGAGAGAGAUGCCGAGAAAGGGGGAGUAAGAGAUUGACGGGAGAGGAGAGAACCGGCGAACCGUCGACCCAGGUGGCACGAUUCUCCGGUGGGUCGACGCCGGAGGGAUCAGAACCCGAUUUCCGGUGGGUCUGACAGAGGCGAAGCAGAGAGGGAGAGCUGGAGGAGAUCCGACCGUUGAAGGAUCCUCUGGUGAAGCUACGGUGGCCGACCCUCCAGGAACGAUUUUCCGGCGAGACAAGCCGAUUUCCGGCGGGCUCAGGUGUUUUCCGGCCUAACCCAUAACCCCGAACCCAUCAAGGCCGUGACCCAUAACCCAGAAUCCGUGACCCGUGUGUGUGUGUGCGCGACCCAUAUCGAACCCGAGAGAGAGAUCCGGUGGGUUCCAGUGGCGAUUUCUGGCGGUUCCGGUGGCGAUUCCGGUGAACCCGUGACUCGGUGACUCGUUGAUCUGAGACCCGGUGACUUGAAGGCUGGUUUCCGGCGAGGCAAAGGGGAUCCAGCAGUUUUUGGAGGCGCGCUUUUCGGUUGUUUUCUGUGGUUUUCCGGUGGGUCGACCGUGGGUUGAUUUUUUCGGCAGUUGUGUAGCAAUUUUCGGUAGAAGCUCGACUCCGAGGCUAACGGCUAGUCCAGAUGACAACCGUAAGACGAAGUCUUUUUCUUGUAAGGGCGUAGACCUCGCUGAGAGCGAUAGUUCGUGAUGAACCAGCCAAACCCUAAUAUUGUAUAGUAUGAUUUGUUCCUUUUGGAGUUCUUGAUUUUGUAUAGAUUAUUAAU